rnacentral:misc_RNA from 1 species
GGCAGGAAUUAACAUUUUUCGCCUAAGAAAAGUCGGAUUGGCACCGUAUGUUCUUCUUUUAAAUAUUAAAUGAAAUGCCUAUUGUCUAUAUCUUUUUUUUUAAUUUUAUGUUUGACAAGAAUCAUAAAAAUAUAUAUUAAGUGCUUCGAUUAAGGAACACCUUGCUCAUGCAUCUUCUUUUUUUCAGAUAUAAUCACUUGUGAUUGUGGAUCAGGUUCCAUCGCGUGUGUUAUUAUAAACGGUAAAAAAUUGUGUGGUUGCGAACCGGGAAAAACUCAAAUAGGUGAAGCAUGCCACACACCUGUUCCCUAUGGAUGGAAAAUAGCCACGAUCAUUAUAGCUGUAAUCUUCGGUAUCACCCUUGUAGGAAUGGGUGUCUUCAUUUUUAAAAGGUAUUGACUAACAGUCGGAUUAAAAUAAUUAACGAUGAAUUUCG